UGGACGGCGUCAUAUUCAAAGUUCAAACUUGAUGGAACCUAAACAGAAACAUGUGUCUGUACUGCAGUUGAGUCAGUAGGAGAGGAGGGAAGGAUAAUUUAUUUUUAGAAUAGAAUGUGGAAACAGGAUCAACCAUUUAAGUAAAACACUAUCCACAUGCGGAAAUCAUAUCGAUAACUUGAGACCAGAAAAUAUAGCUAGCGUUUUGAGAGAACGUGCCAGUAAUCUGUCGUCUGGGAACAAAUCAAGGAAAUGGGAGAUUCGGGCACACAAACGCGUUCAGAUGAGCGGUUGACAGCUGAGGAGAUGGAUGAACAACGCAUCCAGAAUGUAGCCUAUCAAUACCUGUGCCGUUUGGAAGAGGCUAAAAGGUGGAUGGAAUCUUGUCUCCAUGAGGAGCUGCCUGCCCUGACUGAGCUGGAGGAGGGGCUGAGGAACGGGUGCUGCUGGCCAAGCUAGGCCACUGUUUCACCCCCAAGACAGUCCCCCUCAAAAAGAUCUAUGACCUGGACCAGGAAUGCUUUAAGGGUAUGGGAUUGCAGUUCCGCCACACGGACAACAUCUUUAUUAGGCCUCUCCUCACGUAUAACAGUAGCAAUCUUGUUUACUGUUACACCUGAACUGCACCUAACCUGUCCUUGUUGUUUCAGAUGUUCCACCCAGAGACGACUGACAUCUAUCAUAAGAAGAACAUGUCCAGGACUGUGUACUGCAUCCAUGCUCUCAGCCUCUACCUUUUCUGACUAGGUUUGGCCCCUCAGAUCCAUGACCUCUGUGGCAAGGUCAAAUUUACAGAGGAGGAGAUAAACAACAUUAAACGGGAGCUGGACAAAUAUGGCAUCCAGAUGCCAGCCUUUAGCAUGAUUGGGGGAAUCUUAGCCAAUGAAAUAACAGUGGAUGAGGCUGCUGUCCAUGCUGCGGUUAUAGCUAUCAACGAGACGGUGGAGAGGGGGCACGUGGAGGUCAUUGCCCAGGCCCUGUGGAACCCCAGUGCCAUGCUCACCAACCUGCAGGAGCACCUGAUGCCAGUCUACCAGGAGAUGCUGCGCCAGGCAAGGGCACAGAAGGUGGCUCUCGCCUACACCAAGUGUAACGGUUCAGAGGAGAAGGAUAUCUAUGAGGAAUACCUGACCCAAAGUGAGAUUCAAGAGAACAUUGACAAAGUAAAUGUGCGUGUGGCCAUAGAGCAGGUGGACGAGGCCCUGGAUUGUGGGGACUCUGGCCAUCCUGGCAGCCCUCCAGGUCCCCUGUCUUGCCCUGAGGGGCCUCCAGAGAGACCACGGUCCCUGGUACCUGGAGAAACUGGCCACUGACCAUGAACAGAAGGCCCUGGACCUGGGCUGUGUGGACCCUCUGGAGCGAGAUGAGCUGCAGGAGGGGGUGUGUGUGGCUAACGAGGAGGCCCAGAGCAACUAGACAAUGCAGGAAGCUGUAAGGUCCAUCAACGAGGCCCUGCGUCUUGGGGAGCCCAGGCAGACUGUUCGUGCCCUCAUGGACCCUGAUGCCCACCUCCCAGAUGUCUACCCCUUUGCCUCAGCGCUCUACCAGAGUGAACUGGCCCCACUGCAGCGGCAGAGUCCUCAGGAGGAGCUGUACGUAGCAGUGGAGAUGCUCUCGGCGGUGGCUCUCAUCAACCAGGCUGUGGAGGCCAAAGAUGUCGGAGCCUUCUGUGCCACGCUGGUCAGCCCUGAAGCCGGUCUGUCCGAUAUUGACGACAGCCUGGUCCAGAGGUACUUUGAGGAGCUGGGUGAUCAGAGGAGGAAGGCUGGGAGAGCUCUGCUGUCAUGGAACAAUCUCCCGAGAGCACUAAACUCUGUAAACGCAGCAGCAUAGGAAGAGCAUGACCAGAUCCUCGCCAUCGGCCUGAUUAACCAGGCCCUGUGUCGAGGCGACCUUCAGAAGACUCUAGCUGCACUGCUGCUGCCUUCUAGUGGCCUUGAGGAGGUGACGACACUCAAUGCCUGCCGCUACCAUGACGUACUGACCAGAGCCCAGAGGCAGAAGGCUGAGGUAUUGUCCCUGGGCUUGGUGGCCGUGAACCAGGCAGUGAAGGAGGGCAAGGCGUCCCAGACGUGGCAGAAUGUGCUGGAGUGUACCAGGCUGAACUCACCGCCCUAUCUGUGGGAGGUCAGUACCCACUACCACUCGGGGGACAACCGGAGCCCAUGGCUGAAGACCAAGACUGAGGACAGCCCCUACUACUUCCACCUGCACAAGCUGGAGGGCACCUGGGAGAGACCGCAGGGCUUUCUCCAGAGCACAGUGUUCCUGGCCCGUGAAGAAAUACAGGUCAAAAUGACCUGUAAAUUCAGUACAAACAAUCUCACUCUACAGGCGGUGCUGAGCAGUGUGACUGCGGCCCACAGCUGGGAGGUGCAUUGGAAGGCCAGCGAGGGCCUGGUGGUGCAGCUGCAGGCCAGGGCCCAGGGAUUCCUCCUCAGACAGAGGCUGGUCGCCCGUUUGCACUUCCUCAACACCCAGCUACCAGCCAUCAUCACCAUCUCGUCCCAGUGGAGGAGGUUCGUACAGCAGAGAGCCUACAGAAAGAGGCUACAGUAUCUCUACCAGAACUGGAGGGCUGUGGUCAGGGUCCAGGCCAGUGUGAAGAUGUGGAUUGCUCGGAGGAAAUACCUUUCUCGUCGGUGCUUCUUCAGACGUCAAGUGGGCGCCAUUAUAAAGAUCCAGGCAUUCUUCCAAGCCAACAAGGCCCGUGAGGAAUACAGAAUGCUAGUCCACUCUACUACCCCUCCUCUGUCAGUAGAGAGGAAGUUUGCCCACCUGCUGGAGAUGGGUGACAACGACAUCCGCCAGGAGGGGAAGCUGCUGCGUAUGUGGGAGGAGGUGGUGAGGACCAGUCGCUCCAACCGCCAGCUGGAGACUGACCUGGACCUCAAGGUAGGACUGCUGGUCCGCAACCGUGUCACGCUGCAGGAGGUGUUUUCCCACUGCAAGAAGCUGACCAAGAAGAACAAGGAGCAGCUGUCGGACAUGAUGGCUCUGGACAAGAGCAAGGGCCUCAAGGCCCUGAGCAAAGACAAGAGGGAGAGUUUGAUUUGUGGACAUCUGUGGACAUCUGGGUUGUGUUGUGAUCAGAUUGUGGGGAACCUGGUGUACUACCGCUACAUGAACCCAGCCGUGGUGUCUCCGGAUGGUUUUGACGUGGUAGAGUUCUCGGCCGGCUCCUCCCUGCUCCCUGAGCCGCGCCGCAUCCUGGGUUCCAUCGCACACGUCCUGCAGCAUGCCGCCGCACACAAACACUUCCACGGUGACAGCCCUCACCUGCGCGCCCUCAACGACUACAUUACCCUUGACGCACUCCAAGUUCCGUAAGUUCCUGCAUGCUGCGUGUGACGUGCCAGCGCCAGAGGAGCGUUUUAACAUUGAUGAGUACUCUGAGAUGAUCAUCCUCACCAAAUCAACGAUAGUCAUCUCCAUCAGUGAGCUCCUUAACACACAAGUGCUUCUGUUGGAGCACCAGGACUCCCUGUGUCCCGACCAGUCUGGCCCGAUGCUGACUCUGCUGAGAGACCUGGGGAAGGUGACCACUAUCCAUGCUCUGGUUGGUGAGGGGGCUGUGAGCGCCGCGGAGCCCCAGACAGAGCAGACCUUGGCGCAGUACAGUAAGAUGGAGUUGUCCCUCACCAGCAAGUUUGAUGUGUUCAGGGGCUCUGACGACCACCCUGACACCAGGGGGAUUCUCCUCCGUACCAAACAGUUGAUCAUCGACAUGAUCCGAGCCCAGCCUGGAGACACACUGAGUGAGGCCCUGAGAGCUUCCUCCUCUCAGGAUCAGGAGGUGCAGCACGGGUGGAUGACGCACUGCUGCGCCCAAAGUGACGCCCGCACCCCUGAGAAGAUGAAGAGGAACCAGUCGAUCGUUGCCGACGGAAGCGGAAGGUCCAGCGUAGCCUGAGGAGGCUGGAGAGCCUGGGGGUCCUGACCCCACCUGACUCUGAGACACAGAUACUACAGCUCAUAGCCAAGGAUAUCCACCACCAGCGUCUGUACCGGCAGCGUCGUCAGGCUGAGCUGGUCAAGCUGAGACAGACCAUGGUCGGCCUGCACUGCAAGAGCUCCUUCCACAGCAAACAGGUGGACUUCUACAGCCAGUACAUCACCACCUGCCUGGAUAACCUCACCGCCAAACACAGCAAAGGGAAGAAGAGCAAGCAGCCCGCUCUGACCUACACUGCUGCCCGUUUACUUGAGAAAAGAGUCCUGUUGGAGAUCAAGGACCUGCCAGUCACACAGUUUAAGAAUGUCAUCUUUGACUUUGUGCCCGGUGAUGAGGGCGGCACAUUCCAGGUAAAGGCUCGCUUUAUGGGUGUGGACAUGGAGAAGUUCCCCCUCAAAUACCAGGACCUGCUGCAGCUCCAGUACGAGGGAGUGGCGGUGAUGAAGAUGUUCGACAAGGCCAAAGUCAACGUCAACCUGCUAAUCUUCCUUCUCAACAAGAAGUUCUUGGAGAAGUGAGAGGGUUAGAGGAUACUGCCAGAUCACCCACCUCAACACGGGGCCAAAUGCUAUUAUAAACUCAUACACUUUACUAUUUCUGUACUUUGGCUACUUUUUGUAAAUGCCCCAAUGAACAGAUUUAGUUUAUAUCUAACUACAUUUAUCAAAUCAGUUAAUUUAGUGAUCUUAUUCAAACAGGAAAUUCACAAAACGUGGUCAGUAAGGAUGAAGGUUGCUCAUGUAAUAUUUUUUUUACUUGUGUGAAUUGGAAAUGUGUUUUUGCGUAUCCCAACUCCUUCUGAGACACCCUCAGAGAGUUGGGGUCAGAGCCAGCCAGGGGCAGACAUUAUUAAUGGCCUACCGGGAGCAAUUGGGGUUAAGAUUCUUGCCAAAGGGCAUUAGACAGAUUUUUCACCUGGUCAGCUGCGGGAUUUGACCCGGCCACCUUUCGGGUAUACUGGCCCAACACCACUGUCUUACGUCAGAUCGUGUCACUCUUACGCAACGUUUGUCCCUGAUCCUCAAAUCAGUGCAAUCUGACGUGAGACAACACUAACCUUGAGGUUACCUGCUGCCCAACUAUUUCCCAUUAGCGAUGUUGUUCCUCAUUUUGCUUGUAGUGAUGACAGGGCUAUAGAAUGCCUGAAUUUGUAUUAAUCUCACCCUCCCAGAUUUACCUUUUUUUUUCCUUUUAUCUUGAAAAUAUUAGAGCAGCUUUACUUUAAGGGAUUUUAAUCAAUAAGAAUGUGCAAUCGUAUUUACAUAAAAACAUAUUGUAUCUCUAGUGGCGCUAUCUGUACAAACGGCUUCAUCUGUUAUCAUUUAUUUAAUCCUCUGUUAUACGACUGUAUCCUAAUCGUAUUUUCAGCCGGCUGAUUUCGCCACCUUCCUCCCUUUUCAAAAACUCACUGAGCAACUUCUCAUACAUUAUGGAUGGUUUUGUGUUUAAAUAGAAACACUCCAGUUUGCCACAUAGCAGCCUACACAAUCGUCUAGUAUUUUGUGCACUACUUAAAAUGGGCACAGGACCGCUGCUAAGCUACAUUUGCCUCCCGCUCCACAUACAUAUGCUCUUAGGGGAUUUUAUGUUGUGCGACUUAAUGUUUCAACUGCCACUUUCAUUGGCCUAGCAACAGGAACUGGUACUGUAACAUGUGCCUUGAGACUUCCUGUGAUUAUGGCUUAUUGUUUCCCUGAUGUGUAGGUUACUGACAGGUCUUGCCACAUUGUAAGGAAUUUGUGUAUUUGACUGUAAAGACAGAUGAUAUUGCAAUGAGGGUGAUUCCAUUAGCUAGGCUUCUGUCAGCUGGAGAUGUGGUUGAGCCUUGUGGUCCAACCUUUGACCUCUAACCUAAGAGGCUUGACCUUUUUGUUAGUCUGGGCUUCACUUUUGUUCAAAUUUAUGUACAUAUUUUCUGUCAUUUUAAUUGUUUCUCUUCGUAUUUUCAUCUGUCAUUCCGCUACCCUUAUGUCAGUCUUGAUUUGUUUUAUUAUUUUUCUUUUCAAGACUAACAUGUUCAGGCCAGUCACAAUUUCCACAAUCUGUUGCUAAAUAUGAAUGUGGACCAACAUGACAAUACAACAGUUAUUUCUUUACAUAUCAGUGCUGUAGCUCUAAAGGAAAUUGGUUGAUUAAUCUAACCAGACAAUAGACCAACUGCCUGAUAAAUUGUCCUAAUGAAUCUUGCUAUGCAAUGGAAACUGAUAAUACUCCUGUUUUUUACUUUUAUAUUUAAAUAAAAAUGUAAUUUCUGUCA